GCAAUUGUAACUCAAUUGGCAGAGUGUGACCUUGCCAAGGUCAAAGUUAAGGGUUCGAAUCCCUUCAGUUGCU
rnacentral:tRNA from 1 species